GUGGUUGUCGACUUGCGGGCGGCCCCCCUCCGCAGCGGUGGGGGUGCUGUCCCGCCGGCCCGUCGUGCUGCCCUCCCGGGGAGUUUGCGCGAGCGUUGGCUCCCCCUGGGCCUUUGCGGUGCUCCUGGAGCGCUCCGGGUUGUCCCUCAGGUUCCCGAGGCCGAGCGGUGGUGUGUCGUUCCCACCCCCAGCGCCCCCUCCUCCGGUCGGCGCCUCGGUGUCCGCGCGUGGGUCCUGAGGGAGCUCGUCGGUGUGGGGUUCGAGGCGGUUGAGUGAGACGAGACGCGCCCCUCCCACGCGGGGAAGGGCGCCCGCCUGGUCCGGCGAGCGCACGUCCGGUGCUCCCCUCUGGCGGGUGCGCACGGGCCCUGUGAGCGAUCGCGGUGGGCUUGGGCUGGUGACGCGUGCGCCGGCCGGCCGCCGAGGGGCUACCGUUCUGCCUCCGACCGGUCGUGUGUGGGUUUACUCGGAGGUGCUUUGCCUCUGAAGAAAAGAGGCGGGUGGACGGGGUGGGGGGGGGGGUGGGAGGCGGGGGCUUGUGGAGUUGCGCUCACGCUCGCACCUGCCGGUCCCCGCCCUGACCGCGAACGCUCAAGGUUGCCGCACGCAGGUUUUUCCUGGUACCACAGGCCCCCUCCCUUCCCCAGGCCUCCCUGAGCGCCUCUGCGGGCCCCUCGGGCCCCACGAGGGGCGGCUGGCGGGUGGGGAGUGUGACCCAUCCUCGGUGAGAAAGCCUUCUCUAGCGAUCCAAGAGGUGUGCCUUGGGGUACGGGAUCCCCCGGCCUGCCGCCUCUGUCUCUCUCUCCGUUAUGGUAGCGCUGCAGUAGCGACUCGCUUGCAGAGGAACCCUCCUCAGCUUCCCCCUCGACGGGGUGACGGGGGGAGAGCGAGGGUUCCGCCGGCCACCGCGGUGGUGGCCGAGCGCGGCUCGUCCGGCGAGUGACCCCCCUCCGCCGCGAGUCAGCUCUCCGCCCGCUCCCUUGCCGAGUCGCGACCGGUGCGGACGACGGCGUUUGCGUGGCACGUGGUCGGGCCGCCUGGCCCUGGGAAAGCGUCCCACGGUGGGGGCGCGCCGGUCUCCCGGAGCGGGACCGGGUCGGAGGAUGGACGAGAAUCACGAGCGAUGUGGCCCUGGCGUUGAGUUUGUGGCUGUGGUCGCUUCGGGGCCCCGGGGCUCGUGAGGCAGGUCUUGGUGGGUGCCGAGGGCCUUCCGGCGUCCCAGGCGGGGCGCCGCGGGACCGCCCUCGUGUCUGUGGCGGUGGGAUCCCGCGGCCGUGUUUUCCUGGUGGCCCGGCCAUGCCUGAGGUUUCUCCCUCAGCCGCCCCUCUGCGGGCUCCCAGGUGCCCUUGCCCUCGCGGUCCCCGGCCCUUGCCUGUCUGCGCCCCCUUCCCCGCCCGCCGCCCGCCGAUCCUCUCUCCUCCCCGAGCGGCUCACCGGCUUUACGUCGGUUGGUGGCCGCGUCUGGGACCGAAC
rnacentral:lncRNA from 1 species